CCUACGGGUGGCAGCAGUGAGGAAUAUUGGUCAAUGGACGAGAGUCUGAACCAGCCAAGUAGCGUGAAGGAUGACUGCCCUAUGGGUUGUAAACUUCUUUUAUAAAGGACUAAAACGAGGCACGUGUGCCUUUUUGCAUGUACUUUAUGAAUAAGGAUCGACUAACUCCGUGCCAGCAGCCGCGGUAAUACGGAGGAUCCGAGCGUUAGCCGGAUUUAUUGGGUUUAAAGGGAGCGUAGAUGGGUUGUUAAGUCAGUUGUGAAAUUUUGCGGCUCAACCGUAAAAUUGCAAUUGAUACUGGCAGUCUUGAGUACAGUUGAGGUAGGCGGAAUUCGUGGUGUAGCGGUGAAAUGCUUAGAUAUCACGAAGAACCCCGAUUGCGAAGGCAGCUUACUAAACUGUGACUGACAUUGAUGCUCGAAAGUGUGGGUAUCAAACAGGAUUAGAGACCCUUGUAGUC
rnacentral:rRNA from 1 species